UACGUAGGGUGCGAGCGUUAAUCGGAAUUACUGGGCGUAAAGCGUGCGCAGGCGGUUCGUUGUGUCGGCGGGGAAAGCCCCGGGCUCAACCUGGGAAUGGCCGUUGAAACUGGCGAACUGGAGUGUGGCAGAGGGGGGUGGAAUUCCGCGUGUAGCAGUGAAAUGCGUAGAGAUGUGGAGGAACACCUGUGGCGAAGGCGCCUUGCUGGCCGAUUUCUGACGCUGAGGCGCGAAAGCGUGGGGAGCAAACAGG
rnacentral:rRNA from 1 species